UGGGGAAUCUUGGACAAUGGGGGCAACCCUGAUCCAGCCAUGCCGCGUGAGCGAUGAAGGCCUUAGGGUUGUAAAGCUCUUUCAGCGGGGAAGAUAAUGACGGUACCCGCAGAAGAAGCCCCGGCUAACUCCGUGCCAGCAGCCGCGGUAAUACGGAGGGGGCUAGCGUUGUUCGGAAUUACUGGGCGUAAAGCGCACGUAGGCGGACCAGUCAGUUGGGGGUGAAAUCCCGGGGCUCAACCCCGGAACUGCCUCCAAAACUGCUGGUCUGGAGUCCGAGAGAGGUGAGUGGAAUUCCGAGUGUAGAGGUGAAAUUCGUAGAUAUUCGGAGGAACACCAGUGGCGAAGGCGGCUCACUGGCUCGGUACUGACGCUGAGGUGCGAAAGCGUGGGGAGCAAACAGG
rnacentral:rRNA from 1 species